AACAUGUCCAGCAUUUAUUUAUACAUCUUUCUGUUCUGCCCUCUUUAUCAGGAAGACAUCAUGCAAAACCCAAACUCCCUUGAGUAUUUAUAUCCUCAGGCACACAGUCAGUCAUGAAGACACAUAUGCUCACACACUGCUGUUAGACAUGAACUUUAUUAUUCUAACAACCUUGCUGGCUCUCUACUCAACGGGUGGACAUGGUCAGACCCUGACUGAAUCUGAGCCUGUGGUCAUUAAUCCUGGAGGAUCUCACAAACUGACCUGCACAGCCUCUGGGUUCACAUUUAGUAGCUAUUAUAUGGCUUGGAUCAGACAGACUCCUGGGAAAGGGCUGGAAUGGAUCGCUAGAAUGCACAGCUCCACUAUUCACCAGUCUCAGGCUUUUAAAGGACGGUUCACAAUCUCUAAUGAUAACCACAAGAGCCAGCUGUAUCUGCAGAUGUACAGCCUGAAGACUGAGGACACUGCUGUGUACUACUGUGCCCGAGACCCACAGUGA